rnacentral:rRNA from 1 species
UUGGGAAUAUUGCACAAUGGGCGCAAGCCUGAUGCAGCCAUGCCGCGUGUGUGAAGAAGGCCUUCGGGUUGUAAAGCACUUUCAGCGAGGAGGAAGGUGGUGAGCUUAAUACGCUCAUCAAUUGACGUUACUCGCAGAAGAAGCACCGGCUAACUCCGUGCCAGCAGCCGCGGUAAUACGGAGGGUGCAAGCGUUAAUCGGAAUUACUGGGCGUAAAGCGCACGCAGGCGGUUUGUUAAGUCAGAUGUGAAAUCCCCGGGCUCAACCUGGGAACUGCAUUUGAAACUGGCAAGCUAGAGUCUCGUAGAGGGGGGUAGAAUUCCAGGUGUAGCGGCGAAAUGCGUAGAGAUCUGGAGGAAUACCGGUGGCGAAGGCGGCCCCCUGGACGAAGACUGACGCUCAGGUGCGAAAGCGUGGGGAGCAAAACAGGAUUAGAUACCCUGGUAGUCCACGCUGUAAAACGAUGUCGAUUUUGGAGGUUGUGCCCUUGAGGCGUGGCUUCCGGAGCUAACGCGUUAAAUCGACCGCCUGGGGAGUACGGCCGCAAGGUUAAAACUCAAAUGAAUUGACGGGGUCAUAGCUGUUUCCUG